GCCGCCGUGGUGUAGGGGUCAACACGUCGGCCUGUGGAGCCGAAGAACCCGGGUUCGAGUCCCGGCGGCGGCCCCA
rnacentral:tRNA from 1 species